AUUUGAAAUCUGGCCUCUUUGGGGUCCGAGUUGUAAUUUGUAGAGGAUGUUUCGGGUACCGCCUCGGUUUAAAUUUCUUGGAACAGAAUGUCAGAGAGGGUGAGAAUCCCGUCUUGGACCGGCGGUAGGGCCCAUGUGAAACUCCUUCGACGAGUCGAGUUGUUUGGGAAUGCAGCUCAAAAUGGGUGGUAAAUUUCAUCUAAAGCUAAAUAUUGGCCAGAGACCGAUAGCGCACAAGUAGAGUGAUCGAAAGAUGAAAAGCACUUUGAAAAGAGAGUUAAACAGUAUGUGAAAUUGUUGAAAGGGAAGCGCUUACAACCAGACUUGAGCGCGGCGGUUCCCCCUUCCUUUUGGUUGGGUUACUCCGCCGUGUCCAGGCCAACAUCGGUUCUGGGGGUCGGUCAAAGGCUUUGGGAAUGUACCUACCCUUCGGGCGUAGACUUAUAGCCCAGAGUGUCAUGCGGCCUCCCGGGACCGAGGAACGCGCUUCGGCUCGGAUGUUGGCGUAAUGGUUGUCAGCGACCCGUCUUGAAACACGGACCAAGGAGUCUAACAUCUAUGCGAGUGUUUGGGUGUCAAACCCGGAACGCGAAAUGAAAGUGAACGGAGGUAGGAAGCCGUGAGGCUGCACUAUCGACCGAUCCUGAUGUCUUCGGAUGGAUUUGAGUAAGAGCAUAGCUGUUGGGACCCGAAAGAUGGUGAACUAUGCCUGAAUAGGGUGAAGCCAGAGGAAACUCUGGUGGAGGCUCGCAGCGGUUCUGACGUGCAAAUCGAUCGUCAAAUUUAGGUAUAGGGGCGAAAGACUAAUCGAACCAUCUGGUAGCUGGUUCCUGCCGAAGUUUCCCUCAGGAUAGCAGUAACGUUUU
rnacentral:rRNA from 1 species